rnacentral:misc_RNA from 1 species
UUUCCGUAGGUGAACCUGCGGAAGGAUCAUUAAGGAGUUGUCAUGGGGUUCGAUGCUGGCAGCCAGUUUUUGGAUGCAUGUGCUUGCCCUAACAAUCAUCUUCUUCCAAACACCUGUGCACAUUUUUGAGGGAGUCUUGAGUUGGUUGCCGCUCUUGGGUGAUUUUCUCACAUUCCCUUAAAUCAUUAUACGCUAUUAACAAUGUUGAACGUGCUCUGUGCCGCAAGGCCAUUAAUAUAAUACAACUUUUAACAACGGAUCUCUUGGCUCUC